GACAGAACAAGGGUGCUGCCAAUUCGUUGAUUUGAGGUCUAUUGAUAAAUUUGGAUUCUGGGCUUUCUUCUUAGAAUAGUUUUCGAAGUAUGAAUACAAGUACAGGGGGGGUUUCGAAGUAUGGAUUCUGGUCAUAUUAUAUAUACUUUGUUUGAUUGUGGGUGUUGAAGAGCUUUACAUUCUAGCUUUUGGUUGAGAAUUAUAUUUGGCUCGAGGCAGAGUGGUUUAUAGAGUGCUGAUGGGCACAAAGCGCAGAUGGUCUUGUAUUAGUGAUGAGAAUGUGGAAAGUCUCUCAGUUCCACCAGGAUCUCCCUAAAACUUGCCUUCCAAAAGGAGUUAUUCGAGGAUGGCCAGAUUGUAAUAACUGUCUAAAGGUCAUGUUCUCUUGUUUCCUUGAUGCUCAUUAUUGGUUGUAGUAUUUUGAACUGGUAACAGCAAGGUGGCGUCCUGAAGAGGCAGGCAGGAGUAUCAUUGAGGAGGCUCCUGUUUUCCAUCCCACAGGAGGAAUUUGAAUACAGUGUUGAGUAUAUUCCGAGCAUACGCCCUAAAGCAGAAGCAUAUGGAAUUUGUCGUAUUGUUCUUCCUCCGUCAUGGCAACCUCCCUGCCUAAUAAAGGAAAAGAACAUAUGGGAAGAUUCUACGUUUGUCACUCAUAUUCAGUGGAUAGAUGGGCUUCAAAAUCAGUAUUCACAGAGUAAAGUUGCUAGGUUUCAUGAAAAUAUGAAGGGUGAGUUUGAGGAUAAGUUCAAAGAAUGGCUAUAGUGAUGAAGAUACCACAAACCCCUAUGAUGUUGAAAGCUUUGAGCCUGAUCAUGGUCCAGAAUUUACUCUUGAAACUUUAAGGAUUGAUUGCUGUUGGGAUUUUUUUUGCACUGUAUUGGUGUUGCUUCUAUUCAUGGUGGCCACAAGAUAACAGUCCAGCUGGUAUUUUCACUGUAUUGAGUUUUGUGGCUGGUUGUUAAUUUGUGUUUGUGGGCAUUGGAAGUUAAUUGUAGCAUGUCUUCGAGAGUAGAAAAAAUACAGUUUUAUGUGGGCGAUGGAUUUUUCUUGAUUUGGUGUUUGUGCAUUUUUGUGGAAGUCAAGUAGU